UACGGAGGGUGCAAGCGUUAAUCGGAGUUACUGGGCGUAAAGCGUGCGUAGGCGGUUCGUUAAGUCUGUUGUGAAAGCCCCGGGCUCAACCUGGGAAUGGCAAUGGAUACUGGCGAGCUAGAGUGUGUCAGAGGAUGGUGGAAUUCCCGGUGUAGCGGUGAAAUGCGUAGAGAUCGGGAGGAACAUCAGUGGCGAAGGCGGCAUCCUGGACCGGUAUUGACGCUGAUGCGCGAAAGCCAGGGGAGCAAACGGG
rnacentral:rRNA from 1 species